GACGAACGCUGGCGGCGUGCUUAACACAUGCAAGUCGAGCGGUAAGGCCCUUUCGGGGGUACACGAGCGGCGAACGGGUGAGUAACACGUGGGUGACCUGCCCUUAGCUCUGGGAUAAGCCUGGGAAACUGGGUCUAAUACCGGAUAUGACUCCAUGACGCAUGUUGUGGGGUGGAAAGCCUUGUGCGGCUAGGGAUGGGCCCGCGGCCUAUCAGCUUGUUGGUGGGGUGAUGGCCACCAAGGCGACGACGGGUAGCCGGCCUGAGAGGGCGACCGGCCACACUGGGACUGAGACACGGCCCAGGACUCCUACGGGAGGCAGCAGUGGGGAAUCUUGCGCAAUGGGCGAAAGCCUGACGCAGCGACGCCGCGUGGGGAUGACGGCCUCGGUGUAA
rnacentral:rRNA from 1 species